GAUUAACGCUGGCGGCGUGCCUAACACAUGCAAGUCGAGCGGCAGCGAGUUUUACACUGAAUUCUGGAAGCUUCUAGUUGAAAGAGAAGAUCUAUUCAAGAAUUUUGUGUAAAAUGUCGGCGAGCGGCGGACGGCUGAGUAACGCGUGGGAACGUACCUCAAAGUGAGGGAUAACGCAUCGAAAGGUGUGCUAAUACCGCAUAUGGUCUUCGGAUUAAAGCCUUCGGGUGCUUUGGGAACGGCCUGCGUAAGAUUAGAUAGUUGGUGGGGUAAUGGCCUACCAAGGCGAGGAUCUUUAACUGGUAUGAGAGGAUGAUCAGUCAGACUGGAACUGAGACACGGUCCAGACUCCUACGGGAGGCAGCAGUGAGGAAUCUUCCACAAUGGGCGAAAGCCUGAUGGAGCAACGCCGCGUGCAGGAUGAAGGCAUUCAAGUUGUAAACUGCUUUUAUAAGUGAGGAUUAUGACAGUAACUUAUGAAUAAGGAUCGGCUAACUACGUG
rnacentral:rRNA from 1 species